GCUGGCUCCCACAGGAGCAGUGUCAACAAGGAUGAGACAGAAAGGAGUGACCACAGCAGUCAUCCCACCCAAGGAGAAGAAACCUCAGGCCACCCCACCCCCUGCCCCUUUCCAGAGCCCCACGAUGCAGAGAAACCAAAGACUGAAGGCCGCCAACUUCAAGUCUGAGCCUCGGUGGGAUUUUGAGGAAAAAUACAGCUUCGAAAUAGGGGGCCUUCAGACGACUUGCCCUGACUCUGUGAAGAUCAAAGCCUCCAAGUCGCUGUGGCUCCAGAAACUCUUUCUGCCCAACCUCACUCUGUUCCUGGACUCCAGACACUUCAACCAGAGCGAGUGGGACCGCCUGGAACACUUUGCACCACCCUUUGGCUUCAUGGAGCUCAACUACUCCUUGGUGCAGAAGGUCGUGACACGCUUCCCUCCAGUGCCCCAGCAGCAGCUGCUCCUGGCCAGCCUCCCCGCUGGGAGCCUCCGGUGCAUCACCUGUGCUGUGGUGGGCAACGGGGGCAUCCUGAACAACUCCCACAUGGGCAAGGAGAUAGACAGUCAUGACUACGUGUUCCGGACGUCCGCUACUUGCACUUCCUGGAAGGCACCCGGGACUAUGAGUGGCUGGAAGCACUGCUUAUGAAUCAGAUGGUGAUGUCAAAAAACCUUUUCUGGUUCAGGCACAGACCCCAGGAAGCUUUCCGGGAAGCCCUGCACAUGGACAGGUACCUGUUGCUGCACCCAGACUUUCUCCGAUACAUGAAGAACAG
rnacentral:sRNA from 1 species